rnacentral:rRNA from 1 species
UACGUAGGGGGCUAGCGUUGUCCGGAUUUAUUGGGCGUAAAGAGCGUGUAGGCGGCCAGGUAGGUCUGCUGUGAAAACUCGAGGCUCAACCUCGAGACGUCGGCGGAAACCAUCUGGCUAGAGUCCGGAAGAGGAGAGUGGAAUUCCUGGUGUAGCGGUGAAAUGCGUAGAUAUCGGGAGGAAUACCAGUGGCGAAGGCGGCUUCCUGGCCUGUUCUUGACGCUGAGGCGCGAAAGCUGGGGGAGCGAACGGG